UUAUAUAUCUCUGUGAACAGAGUCUGAACCGACAGAAACCAUGAGCUUCAUCAGCAUCUUCAUCUGGAUCUUCACCAGCUGCUGUUUCACAGCAGCUGGAGUCACAGUCACUCAGACACCUGAAGAGAAACCUGUUCAACCUGGAGACACAGUUACCAUGUCCUGCAAAACCAGUCCUGAAGUUCACCAGGGUUGGGGAGUUCAGCCUCUUAGCUGGUACUUACAGAAACCUGGAGAAGCUCCUAAACUCCUGAUUUAUUACGCUAACCGUCUCCAGUCAGGAACUCCAUCUAGAUUCAGAGGAAGUGGAUCUAAAAGUGAUUUCUCUCUGACCAUCAGUGGAGUCCAGACUGAAGAUGCUGGACAUUAUUACUGUCAGAGUUUUCACUGCAGAACAGAUUCAGAUGGUGAUUGUGAGAGUGAUUAUGUGUUCACACAGUGAUAAAGAGUCGUACAAAAACCUCCUUCAUUCAGAGUCUCAGAGACUGAACUGAAACUAUCUCUCACUCAACAGAGCAGAAACA